GACGAACGCUGGCGGCGUGCUUAACACAUGCAAGUCGAACGGUAAGGCCCCAGCUUGCUGGGGUACACGAGUGGCGAACGGGUGAGUAACACGAGGGUGACCUGCCCCGCACUUCGGGAUAAGCCUGGGAAACUGGGUCUAAUACCGGAUAGGACCGCACCGUGAGGGUGUGGUGGAAAGUUUUUCGGUGUGGGAUGGGCCCGCGGCCUAUCAGCUUGUUGGUGGGGUAAUGGCCUACCAAGGCGGCGACGGGUAGCCGGCCUGAGAGGGUGGACGGCCACAUUGGGACUGAGACACGGCCCAGACUCCUACGGGAGGCAGCAGUGGGGAAUAUUGCACAAUGGGCGGAAGCCUGAUGCAGCGACGCCGCGUGGGGGAUGACGGCCUUCGGGUUGUAAACUCCUUUCACCAUCGACGAAGGUUUUCUGACGGUAGAUGGAGAAGAAGCACCGGCUAACUACGUG
rnacentral:rRNA from 1 species